AGGAUUUUUAACUCUAGGACACUGCUAUCAUUGUGUUAGUGGAAUCAAGCACUUAGAACGGUGCUUUGCACAUACAUCAAUUCAGGCUUUUGGAAGCUCAGAAAAGAAAUCAAGAAGUGGUUUCUUCGACGUAAAACCGAAGAGGUAACAGCUCUUUGGCCGCAAGUAAGACCCAUGUCUGAUAGAGUAGCGGGGAAGGUUAGUCGAAAACCGAGUGCCCCUGAUUCUCCUGCUCAAGACCCGAGUUCCACUGUAGCUGCCGGAGACCCUGAUUUGACUAAGGCUGGAUCCUAACAGAAAAUGAGAAUUCCCGUUGCAAGAGUGCAAGCACUGCCAGCAACUGCAGCCAGUGGAACCAGGAAGAAAUACCUGAAAAGAGGAAUGACCCGUCGAGCGCUCACGUCAAAAACUGCCUGGAUGAAGUGGCAACGACUUGCACGUAGGGUCACAGAGAAUGACAACUUCCGGUAUGGAGACUGAUAUGAACAGGCUGCUAAAGCAACGUGAAGAACUCCCAGAAAGAAGAGAGAAACUUUCAGAAAGGAGGGAGCAGGCCAUCAAAGAGAAUGGAGAUGGGGAUAAAAAUGUACAUAGCAUUAAUGAGGAGACAGAAUCACCAACUGCAAACAUCGAUUACAUCAAUAAUAGUGUUUCUGACUGUCAAGCCAGUAUCAUGCAGAUGGAGGAAGCAAAGCCUGAAAGGGAGACUAAAGGAACCCUUUCUUGGAUAAAGUAUAAUGGAGCUGCUCAUAACUCUAGUUACAGUAUCAAUAAACAGG